rnacentral:rRNA from 1 species
CAGUCUGCAACUCGACUGCGUGAAGGUGGAGUCGCUAGUAAUCGCGGAUCAGCAACGCCGCGGUGAAUGCGUUCCCGGGCCUUGUACACACCGCCCGUCAAGUCAUGAAAGUGGGCAGCACCCGAAGACGGUGGCCUAACCCUUGUGGGGGGAGCCGUCUAAGGUGAGGCUCGUGAUUGGGACUAAGUCGUAACAAGGUAUC